CCCUCCCCGAGCCGGGAGCAAUCCCCCGGCGCAGCAACGAAACCCCGGCGCGAACCGCGCCAAGGAACACGAACUCAUGGCGUGCCCGCCCGCGCCCGGUACCGCCGGCGCGCGGGGGCGGCACCUGUCCCUACUUUAAAACGUAACGACUCUCGGCAACGGAUAUCUCGGCUCUCGCAUCGAUGAAGAACGUAGCGAAAUGCGAUACUUGGUGUGAAUUGCAGAAUCCCGUGAACCAUCGAGUCUUUGAACGCAAGUUGCGCCCGAAGCCUUCCGGCCGAGGGCACGUCUGCCUGGGCGUCACGCAUCGCGCCUCCCCCCCGCCCGCCGGGGGGGAAGGAUGAUGGCCUCCCGUGCCCCCAGCCGUGGGCGCGGCUGGCCUAAAACGGGAGCCCGCGGCGGCGAGCUGCGGCGGCGAUUGGUGGUGGACGAGGCCCUGAGUGGCCACCGUUUGCAUCGCGCCGCGCACGCACGCCGCCGGGAGGGGCUCGUCGGACCCAUAAGGUUGUGCUGCAGGCAC
rnacentral:rRNA from 1 species